ACAUCCUGUGCUACAUCCAGAGAUGGAUGGUUCCCGUCGGGGACGCAGUGACAGUUGCUGCAUGGCUGUCGUCAGCUCGUGUCGUGAGAUGUUCGGUUAAGUCCGGCAACGAGCGCAACCCACAUCCCUAGUUGCCAGCAGUUCGGCUGGGCACUCUAUGGGAACUGCCCGUGAUAAGCGGGAGGAAGGUGUGGAUGACGUCAAGUCCUCAUGGCCCUUACGAGUAGGGCUACACACGUGCUACAAUGGCGCAUACAGAGGGCGGCCAACUUGCGAAAGUGAGCGAAUCCCAAAAAGUGCGUCGUAGUCCGGAUUGGAGUCUGCAACUCGACUCCAUGAAGUCGGAAUCGCUAGUAAUCGUGGAUCAGAAUGCCACGGUGAAUACGUUCCCGGGCCUUGUACACACCGCCCGUCACACCAUGGGAGUGGGCUGCAAAAGAAGUGGGUAGUUUAACCUUUCAGGGGAGGACGCUCACCACUUUGUGGUUCAUGACUGGGGUGAAUCGUUACAAGUAACACA
rnacentral:rRNA from 1 species